CCUUUGUUGAGAAGUCCCUUUUUCCCUAGCUCCAUCAGAGCAUGCGCCUGGCGCCUUUCAUCUCGCCAUUCACUCAGCAGAGGUGUGAUUUAAGCAAUCAGUUUGGGUGAAGACCUGAGUAUACACGGCUCAGUUGCUUCUUCUUCGCUCAGGAACACCUAAUGUCUGGUCUCUCUGCUCUUGGCCAUGUGGUGAAUCUGUUUAGAGACCAUCAUUUAGGCAACGCUGCCUCCCGCCUGCCUAUGCUGCCUUCUCCCACAGCUCAUAGUGAUAAAGCAGAUGUUUCCAGUCCCAUCUGCCUGACCUCAGAAUCAUCUUUCACAUUCUACAGAAGUCACAGAAGCCAACACACAACUCCAGAGUUAAACAUAUUAAACCCCUGUCAUCAGAGAGAACUUUCAAAAAAUCUUGAGAUGGGACCCAUUGGCUCAGACUGAGUCAGAUGUCUACCCUUGGACCAAUCAACUGUGGUCUCUGUGAAUGUAGGCUACUAUUAUUGCCCUAUUUGAGUUUUCUUCCCACUCAUGAGCCAAUCAACUCUAGACAGAAAAGGGAAUGAUCUGAAGCUUGGAAGUUCUCACAGGAACCCUAUAAAUGAAGAAGAGGACAGGACAUGUUUUAAGACAAAGAAAAACGCUAUGCAACCAAAAUACAUCUACUACAAUAACAGUGAUUAUUAAAAAGUCAUUUAAUUUCUCUAAGCCUCAAUUUUCUCUUCUCUAAAAGUGUAUGAAUUGUCUAUUGCUAUGGAUAUGUAUCAAAUAAGAUACUUUAAAAGUUUUAAAUGACAAACUUCUAUACAGUUCUAAAAGGUUGCUCUGAUUAUUACACUGGUGUCACCAAAGUGGUUUCUAGAUUCUAUUUCUGCAGAGCUUUCAUUUGUAAAAUUGGAAUGAUUUUCUCUACUUUUUAUGGUUAUGGACUAAUUAAAGAGAAAUAUCUACCAUUUAUUUAUUGAUGGUUUAAUAUAUAUUAUGGUAGGAGGUUUGCACAUAUUUCCUUUUUUAAUUUUCACCACAGUCCUAUAAACUAGAUAGUCUUACCAAGCAUACUGUAAUGUAAACAGGUUAAGAUGAUUAAGUUCCUAACAUGAAUUAGUGUCAGAGAGAGGAUUUAAAUCAGGUCUGAGUGAUUCCGUGAUUCCAAAGGCAAGGUGGGGAUUUUAAAGAGCCAUACAAUAACACUCUUAUGUGUUAUAAUUUUAUUGUUCAUUUUUAUAAUUCAAUUAUAAUUGGUUUAUUUCUGAGCUAGUUUCCUUAAAAUUUUUAAUAUUUUGCCAUUACAUUUUUAAUGACCUAGUGAUUAUAUUAAAAAUCCUAUCUUUUAUGAAGAUAUAAUGAUGCCAUACUGUGGAUUUGCCAAGUGAUGCUCUACUACUUGUUGGGAGAAAUUAAAAUUUUAAUUCU
rnacentral:lncRNA from 10 species